GGGUGUUUGGUCUAGUAGUAUGAUUCUCGCUUCAGGUGCGAGAGAUUGUGAGUUUGAUUCUCACAACACCCC
rnacentral:tRNA from 1 species